GAUUGCCCUAGUACGGCGAGUGAGCGGCGACAGCUCAAAUUUGAAAUCUGGCGCAAGCCCGAGUUGUAAUUUGUAGAGGAUGCUUCUAGGUAGCGACCGGUCUAAGUUCCUUGGAACAGGACGCCAUAGAGGGUGAGAAUCCCGUAUGUGACCGGCCCGCACCUUCUACGUAGCUCCUUCGACGAGUCGAGUUGUUUGGGAAUGCAGCUCUAAAUGGGAGGUAAAUUUCUUCUAAAGCUAAAUACCGGCCAGAGACCGAUAGCGCACAAGUAGAGUGAUCGAAAGAUGAAAAGUACUUUGGAAAGAGAGUUAAACAGUACGUGAAAUUGUUGAAAGGGAAACGAUUGAAGUCAGUCGUGACCGAGAGGCUCAGCCGGCUCUGCCGGUGUAUUCCCCUCGGUCGGGUCAACAUCAGUUUUGUCCGGUGGAUAAGGGCGGUAGGAAGGUAGCACCCUCGGGUGUGUUAUAGCCUGCCGUCGCAUACAUCGGGUGAGACUGAGGAAUGCAGCUCGCCUUUAUGGCCGGGGUUCGCCCACGUCCGAGCUUAGGAUGUUGACAUAAUGGCUUUAAACGACCCGUCUUGAACCACGGACCAA
rnacentral:rRNA from 1 species